AUUGAACGCUGGCGGCAUGCUUUACACAUGCAAGUCGAACGGUAACAGGUUAAGCUGCCGAGUGGCGAACGGGUGAGUAAUGCAUCGGAACGUGCCCGAUCGUGGGGGAUAACGCAGCGAAAGCUGCGCUAAUACCGCAUACGAUCUGAGGAUGGAAGCGGGGGACCGUAAGGCCUCGCGCGAUCGGAGCGGCCGAUGUCAGAUUAGGUAGUUGGUGGGGUAAAGGCUCACCAAGCCGACGAUCUGUAGCUGGUCUGAGAGGACGACCAGCCACACUGGGACUGAGACACGGCCCAGACUCCUACGGGAGGCAGCAGUGGGGAAUUUUGGACAAUGGGCGCAAGCCUGAUCCAGCAAUGCCGCGUGCAGGAAGAAGGCCUUCGGGUUGUAAACUGCUUUUGUACGGAGCGAAAAGGCUCUCUCUAAUACAGGGGGCUCAUGACGGUACCGUAAGAAUAAGCACCGGCUAACUACGUG
rnacentral:rRNA from 1 species